UGCCAGACUCCUACGGGAGGCAGCAGUGAGGAAUAUUGGUCACUGGGCGGGAGCCUGAACCAGCCAAGCCGCGUGAAGGAAGAAGGCGCCAGGCGUCGUAAACUUCUUUUGUCGGGGAACAAAGGGCGCCACGUGUGGCGUUGUGAGUGUACCCGAAGAAAAAGCAUCGGCUAACUCCGUGCCAGCAGCCGCGGUAAUACGGAGGAUGCGAGCGUUAUCCGGAUUCACUGGGUGUAAAGGGAGCGUAGACGGCGACGCAAGUCUGGAGUGAAAGCCCGGGGCCCAACCCCGGGACUGCUCUGGAAACUGCGUCGCUGGAGUACGGGAGGGGCAGGCGGAAUUCCUGGUGUAGCGGUGAAAUGCGUAGAUAUCAGGAGGAACACCGGCGGCGAAGGCGGCCUGCUGGACCGUGACUGACGUUGAGGCUCGAGAGCGUGGGGAGCAAACAGGAUUAGAUACCCCAGUAC
rnacentral:rRNA from 1 species